UAUGUGAUCGUCUCUCGCAUAUCAAUAAGCGGAGGAAAAGAAACUAACAAGGAUUCCCCUAGUAACGGCGAGUGAAGCGGGAAGAGCUCAAAUUUGAAAUCUUAAAGGGUUUCCCUUUACGAAUUGUAGUUUAAAGAAGUGUUUUCUGUUGAGGUUUUGGUAAAAGUUCUUUGGAAUAGGACAUCAUAGAGGGUGAGAAUCCCGUAUUUGACCUUUACUUUCAACUUUGUGAUACACUUUCAAAGAGUCGGAUUGUUUGGGAAUGCAGUCCAAAAUGGGUGGUAAAUUUCAUCUAAAGCUAAAUAUUGGCGAGAGACCGAUAGCGAACAAGUACCGUGAGGGAAAGAUGAAAAGAACUUUGAAAAGAGAGUUAAACAGUACGUGAAAUUGUCAAAAGGGAAGCGUUUGACACCAGUGUUGUUUUUCUGAAAAUCAAUUAAAGAACUGUUUAUGCUAAGCUGUUUAGACUUUAUCAGCUAUCUGUUUAGUUUUGAGCUUUUCUUUAAUGCACUUUUCAGUUAACAAGUCAACAUCAAUUUCUUUUGCUGUAAAAAAGCUUGAGGAAGGUGGCUUGAAAUUCGUCUUAAGUGUUUAUAGCCUCUUGCCUAUGCAGUCGGAGAGAUUGAGGUCUGCAGCGUAGAUCCUUCGGGGCUAAAUGCAUUUGUGCUAAGUUAUAGCAUUUUAUAGACAACUUGUUGACUAUGAUUUGUCUUGUAGCUUACUCGCUUAUGUUAUUUUACCUACGCUUAGGAUGUUGAGCGCAUGUCUCUCUCU
rnacentral:rRNA from 1 species